UACGUAGGGUGCAAGCGUUAAUCGGAAUUACUGGGCGUAAAGCGUGCGCAGGCGGUUUGUAAGUUGUCGUGAAAGCCCCGGGCUCAACCUGGGAAUUGCGAUGGAGACUGCAAGGCUUGAAUCUGGCAGAGGGGGUAGAAUCCACGUGUAGCAGUGAAAUGCGUAGAGAUGUGGAGGAACACCGAAUGGCGAAGGCAGCCCCCUGGGUCAAGAUUGACGCUCGAUGCACGAAAGCGUGGGAGC
rnacentral:rRNA from 1 species